CCUCAAAUCAGGUAGGACUACCCGCUGAACUUAAGCAUAUCAAUAAGCGGAGGAAAAGAAACUAACAAGGAUUCCCCUAGUAACUGCGAGUGAAGAGGGAAGAGCUCAAAUUUAAAAUCUGUCAGUCUUUGGCUGGCCGAGUUGUAAAUUAGAGAAGUGCCUACCUGCGCUGGCCUGUGCAAAAGUCUCUUGGAAAAGGGCAUCAUAGAGGGUGACAAUCCCGUCUUUGGUACAGAGCUCCAGGCUUCAUGAUGCGCUCUCGAUGAGUCGAGUUGUUUGGGAAUGCAGCUCUAAAUGGGUGGUAAAUUCCAUCUAAAGCUAAAUAUUGGCGAGAAACCGAUAGCGCACAAGUACCGUGAGGGAAAGAUGAAAAGAACUUUGAAAAGAGAGUUAAACAGUACGUGAAAUUGUUGAAAGGGAAACGCUUGAGGUCAGUCGUGUCCUUCAGAAAUCAACCUGACCUUGGUCUGGCUUACUUUCUGGUGGAUGGGUCAGCAUCAAUUUUGAUCAUUGGAUAAAGGCCUUGGGAAAGUGGCAUCUCCAGAUGUGUUAUAGCCUUUGGUUCAUAUACAGUGGUUGGGAUUGAGGAACUCAGUGUGAACUUGGGGCUUUGGCCUACAACACGCACUUAGGAUGCUGGCAUAAU
rnacentral:rRNA from 1 species